GCUUAAUUUGACUCAACGCGGGAAAUCUUACCGGGUCCGGACACACUGAGGAUUGACAGAUAUAUACCCCGUGAUUUUAUCGCGGGGUUGAAAGAUGCUAGUUCUUUCAUGAUUAUGUGAUAGGUGGUGCAUGGCCGUUCUUAGUUCGUGGAGUGAUCUGUCUGCUUAAUUGCGUAUCAAUAAUAGAGACCUAGUAUACGCGUAGACUCAUGCGGUAGUGACCCCCCUUCACAGGGCGCGUGUCGCACGUAUGUUAUACGCACAGGUCUCCGAUAGCAACGAACGUGACCGUACUCUAUUGUUGCAGCGACAAUACCUUUCAACGGGUAUUACCGCUGCUUAGCAAGAUUCGUCUUGCAUUAAACUAUAGAGACCGCUGUUUCUUCUUUAAACCAGAGGAAGGAUACGGCAAUAACAG
rnacentral:rRNA from 1 species